rnacentral:rRNA from 1 species
UACAGAGGUCUCAAGCGUUGUUCGGAUUCAUUGGGCGUAAAGGGUGUGUAGGUGGCGCGCUAAGUCGGGGUGUGAAAUUUCGGGAGCUUACUACCGCAAACUGCAUUCGAUACUGGCGUGCUUGAGGACUGGAGAGGAGACUGGAAUUCAUGGUGUAGCAGUGAAAUGCGUAGAGAUCAUGAGGAAGACCAGUGGCGAAGGCGGGCUCUGGACAGUUCCUGACACUGAGACACGAAGGCCAGGGGAGCAAACGGG